GGAGGGGUGGCAGAGUGGUCGAUUGCACCGGUCUUGAAAACCGGCGUUGGUUCAUCCCAACCCAGGGUUCAAAUCCCUGCCCCUCCGCCA
rnacentral:tRNA from 5 species